rnacentral:rRNA from 1 species
AUUGAACGCUGGCGGCAUGCCUUACACAUGCAAGUCGAACGGCAGCAUGAUCUAGCUUGCUAGAUUGAUGGCGAGUGGCGAACGGGUGAGUAAUACAUCGGAACGUGCCCUGUAGUGGGGGAUAACUAGUCGAAAGAUUAGCUAAUACCGCAUACGACCUGAGGGUGAAAGUGGGGGACCGCAAGGCCUCAUGCUAUAGGAGCGGCCGAUGUCUGAUUAGCUAGUUGGUGAGGUAAAGGCUCACCAAGGCGACGAUCAGUAGCUGGUCUGAGAGGACGAUCAGCCACACUGGGACUGAGACACGGCCCAGACUCCUACGGGAGGCAGCAGUGGGGAAUUUUGGACAAUGGGCGAAAGCCUGAUCCAGCAAUGCCGCGUGUGUGAAGAAGGCCUUCGGGUUGUAAAGCACUUUUGUCCGGAAAGAAAUGGCUCCGGUUAAUACCUGGGGUCGAUGACGGUACCGGAAGAAUAAGGACCGGCUAACUACGUG